rnacentral:rRNA from 1 species
CCUACGGGCGGCAGCAGUGAGGAAUAUUGGUCAAUGGACGAGAGUCUGAACCAGCCAAGUAGCGUGAAGGAUGACUGCCCUAUGGGUUGUAAACUUCUUUUAUAUGGGAAUAAAACGUUCCACGUGUGGGAUUUUGUAUGUACCAUAUGAAUAAGGAUCGGCUAACUCCGUGCCAGCAGCCGCGGUAAUACGGAGGAUCCGAGCGUUAUCCGGAUUUAUUGGGUUUAAAGGGAGCGUAGGUGGAUUGUUAAGUCAGUUGUGAAAGUUUGCGGCUCAACCGUAAAAUUGCAGUUGAAACUGGCAGUCUUGAGUACAGUAGAGGUGGGCGGAAUUCGGGGUGUAGCGGUGAAAUGCUUAGAUAUCACGAAGAACUCCGAUUGCGAAGGCAGUUCACUGGACUGCAACUGACACUGAGGCUCGAAAGUGUGGGUAUCAAACAGGAUUAGAUACCCCAGUAGUC